GACGAACGCUGGCGGCGUGCUUAACACAUGCAAGUCGAACGGAAAGGCCCUGCUUUUGUGGGGUGCUCGAGUGGCGAACGGGUGAGUAACACGUGAGUAACCUGCCCUUGACUUUGGGAUAACUUCAGGAAACUGGGGCUAAUACCGGAUAGGAGCUCCUGCUGCAUGGUGGGGGUUGGAAAGUUUCGGCGGUUGGGGAUGGACUCGCGGCUUAUCAGCUUGUUGGUGGGGUAGUGGCUUACCAAGGCUUUGACGGGUAGCCGGCCUGAGAAGGUGACCGGCCACAUUGGGACUGAGAUACGGCCCAGACUCCUACGGGAGGCAGCAGUGGGGAAUAUUGCACAAUGGGCGGAAGCCUGAUGCAGCAACGCCGCGUGCGGGAUGACGGCCUUCGGGUUGUAAACCGCUUUCGCCUGUGACGAAGCGUGAGUGACGGUAAUGGGUAAAGAAGCACCGGCUAACUACGUG
rnacentral:rRNA from 1 species